rnacentral:misc_RNA from 1 species
UAUAGGUUUGUAGGCACAAAGGCCUUACUAUUACAUUCUAUAACAUACAUGGUGUAUAUGAAGAAAACAUAGGUCUGGAAAUGUAAGGAAAGAGCAAAGUCAAUCCCCAAACCUGAAUGCCAGGCAUUCAGAAAGAUAUCCAGAUCUACAAAAGGUGCACAGGUGGAGAUAUAAAGAUGACAAGCGUGCACAUGCUCCCUAGAGAACCAGCAACAACCCAUCAGGUUUAUUUCAAUAAUGAUCCUUCCGCAGGUUCACCUACGGAAA